rnacentral:rRNA from 1 species
UACGUAGGGUGCAAGCGUUGUCCGGAAUUAUUGGGCGUAAAGAGCUCGUAGGCGGUUUGUUGCGUCGGCUGUGAAAUCCCGAGGCUCAACCUCGGGUCUGCAGUCGAUACGAGCAAACUAGAGUGUUGCAGGGGAGACUGGAAUUCCUGGUGUAGCGGUGAAAUGCGCAGAUAUCAGGAGGAACCACCGGUGGCGAAGACGGGGUCUCUGGGCAACAACUGACGCUGGAGGAGCGAAAGCGUGGGGAGCGAACAGG